rnacentral:sRNA from 1 species
GCCAGGCACGGUGGCACACUCCUGUAAUCCCAGCUGCUCUGGAGGCUGAGGCAGGAGGAUUGCAAGUGCAAGGUCAGCCUGGGCAACUCGGUGAGACCCUGCUUCAA